GAACGCUGGCGGCGUGCCUAAUACAUGCAAGUCGAACGGUCUUUCUAUGGAAGCUUGCUUCCACUGAGAAGAUAGUGGCGAACGGGUGAGUAACACGUGGGUAACCUGCCCAUAAGAGGGGGAUAACAUCCGGAAACGGGUGCUAAUACCGCAUAGUUUCUUGAUCGCAUGAUUGAGAAAGGAAAGACGGCCUUUGUGCUGUCGCUUAUGGAUGGACCCGCGGCGUAUUAGUUAGUUGGUGAGGUAACGGCUCACCAAGACGAUGAUACGUAGCCGACCUGAGAGGGUGAUCGGCCACAUUGGGACUGAGACACGGCCCAAACUCCUACGGGAGGCAGCAGUAGGGAAUCUUCCGCAAUGGACGAAAGUCUGACGGAGCAACGCCGCGUGAGUGAAAGAAGGUUUUCGGAUCGUAAAACUCUGUUGUCAGAGAAGAACAAGUUGGAGAGUAACUGCUCCAGCCUUGACGGUAUCUGACCAGAAAGCCACGGCUAACUACGUGCCAGCCGCCGC
rnacentral:rRNA from 1 species